rnacentral:rRNA from 1 species
CACGUAGGGUGCGAGCGUUAUCCGGAAUUAUUGGGCGUAAAGAGCUCGUAGGCGGUGUGUCGCGUCGGCCGUGAAAACCUGCAGCUUAACUGUGGGCGUGCGGUCGAUACGGGCAUCACUGGAGUUCGGCAGGGGAGACUGGAAUUCCUGGUGUAGCGGUGAAAUGCGCAGAUAUCAGGAGGAACACCGGUGGCGAAGGCGGGUCUCUGGGCAGUAACUGACGCUGAGGAGCGAAAGCGUGGGGAGCGAGCAGG